rnacentral:lncRNA from 1 species
UGACAACGGGGCAUGGGAACGCAGGGCUCAUGCCACAACUGUCCUAGAAAUAGAAAAUUCUUCCAAAGUAAAAAGUUUAUGUUUAAAAUAUAGGGAAAAGACUUGAAUAGACAUUUCACCAAAGACGACAUGUCAAUGGCAAAUAAACACAUCCAAAGGAGCUCAACCUCCAUGAAGAGGGGAAAAGCGCAUCGAAGCCCACUGCACACCUGCUGGAAUAACCCUGAUCAAAACCCAGAGGAUGGCAGGAGCCGCCCGACCUGCAAACAGCCACGGUGUCCCUGCUGACCCCGUGCCUCCAGCACAGCCUCCUCCUGGACUUGGGUAAGUCAAUCCCCCAACAGGUGCACCCUCCCCUCCAUUUCCACUCAGCCCUUAUCCCCCAGGGACCCACUCCACACCUGGGGGCCCUGUGUGGUGACCUCCUGCCAGGCCAGCCUGCCCCAGAGGGAGGAACACAGAAUCCAUUUGGAACCAAAAGGGACUCAGCUCAGCCGGGAAAAGUAGGCUCUUUAUUUCCAGCCUCACUGACCAUGCGCUGCUCUGUGCCCAUGGUGGGCCAGCCCUGGGCAUGAGGAGAUGAGCAGAGCUGGCCCCCGGACCCCUCCUUACCACGUCUGAACGGACAGCACUUCUGUGUCCAGGGGUGUGCGCCGGGCUCCCGGGCAGACAAUCCCUGGGCUUUCGCGACUGGCACUGAAAUGAGGCUGGGCAAGAAGGCACUGGGCCAGAUUCCUCCCUGGGGCACUUAAACGGGGCCACAGGGAAAGAAUCGAUGUGGUGACGGGUGGAGGUGGGGCUCCAUGGCAGCCACGGUCAGGAGCAAGCCCUCGGCAGCAAGGUAUAAAUAAGCCAAAGUGACAGGGGCAGAUGAGUGACACGGACAGACCACAUGCAGAGAGUGAGGGCGCCAAUGGAGGGUGCCACCGGCCAGUGUGAGCCGCAGGGAGAAGGCAGAUAGAGUGAGCUCCAGAGUCCUGACCCACGGACACCCAGGUCCUCUUGCCGGGCACCCGGAGCGCCUGGAAUCCAGUUCCCGAGGCCUUGGCGGGGGCUGCUGCUCCAGGACCCCCUGGUUAUGGCUGGGAUGAGUUUGCAGAGGAUGCCCCCACCACCAAGCUCACACCUAUAAACACUGAUCAUACAAAGUGUGUCAUUCUUGUCACACCAACUAAAACUGCCUUCGGAAGGCAGGGGAAAAGUACUCAGGGCACAACACUGCUCCAAGAAUGGAAUUCUCUGCAAGUCCAGCUGCUGAAACUGCCUUUUGUCACCUGGGACCAGUUUUAUCCACAGCUGCUGAGGUCACUUGCUCCAACUCCAGAAGGAAUUCUGCUCACAGCUGUCACACUGACCAGCACGUCCCAGGUCCUCAGAACUUUCCCAGCGCCAGUGAACUUUCUCAAAGAGCAAUAGGUAACCUUCUCCUUUCUUGUAAAACCACCAACCUUCUACUGCUUCUCCAACCUCCACCAUUUACCUGGUCGGCACAUAUGCCCCAAGAUGCAAUCCUUUCUUCCCAAAUAAAACGUUAAACUUGG